UACGUAGGGGGCAAGCGUUGUCCGGAUUUAUUGGGCGAAAGCGCACGCAGGCGGUCUGCCAAGUUCGGAGUGACAGUUUCCGGCUUAACCGGAAAAGGUCUUUCGAAAACUGGUGGACUUUGAGGACUUGAGGGGGAGACGGAAUUCCGGGUGGAGCGGUGAAAUGCGUAGAGAUCCGGAGGAACACCGAAGGCGAAGGCAGU
rnacentral:rRNA from 1 species